ensembl:rRNA 5S_rRNA 5S ribosomal RNA
UCCUACGGCCAUACCACCCUGAGCGCGCCCGAUCUCGUCUGAUCUCGGAAGCUAAGCAGGGUCGGGCCUGGUUAGUACUUGGAUGGGAGACCGCCUGGGAAUACCAGGUGCUGCAAGCU